UUUUCUAGGACUGGAAAAUGAUACAAUAUUGGAAAUUACAAUUCCUGUUUUGCUGGGUGUGAUUUUGGCUCUUGUUCUGCCCCUGGUGUAUUACCUUAAGAAGAAGAAAGUUGUAACUAAAAGAAGAAAGGAAAGGUUGCAAAGCCUCCGUGAGAGGAACGAUAAUCCCACUGAAGAU